rnacentral:rRNA from 1 species
UACGGAGGGUGCAAACGUUGCUCGGAAUUAUUGGGCGUAAAGCGCACGUAGGCGGUUCGCUAUGUCGGAUGUGAAAGCCUCGGGCUUAACCCGAGAAGGGCAUCCGAAACUGGCGGGCUUGAGUACGGAAGAGGGUCUCGGAAUUCCCGGUGUAGAGGUGAAAUUCGUAGAUAUCGGGAGGAACACCAGUGGCGAAGGCGGAGACCUGGGCCGAUACUGACGCUGAUGCGCGAAAGCUAGGGUAGCAAACGGG